ACCUGCCUCGGCCUUCCAAAGUGCUGGAAUUACAGGCAUGAGCCACCGUGCCCAGCCCCACCUGUUUUUAAUUUAAGUAGUUGAUGCUGAAUAUUAAAGUUGUUAGGUAAACUUUAUCUAUAUAUUAGCUGGAGAAACAAAUAGGGCAGAAUCACUAAACAUGGAUGUUUAAUAUUUACUUGCUAAACAUGUAAAUACUUACUUCAUCAUAAUAUGACCAUGGAAAUAAAUUGUUAUCAACCUGCUUUGGGUUCCUAGGAAUCUAAGCCAGCAGACAGAAAUUCAACCUCUAGAAAGGGAAGUAGGUGUCUGUCCUGCCUUCAUGCUCAAGCAAAGGGUCCCAUAAAGAGAACUUUGUGAGGUUAUUUUCCUCCAUCAACCUAUCUUUAAGGAGGACCAUCCUAAACCUUUCCAGCAACUGCCAACUCUCCCACUUACAUUAAGACUCUGGAUAAGCUACGUAAGUUCUCUGAACUUCAUAAUUAUUGUAUUAAAAUUGAUAUAGAAAUGUCUACCUUGUACUUUGCUGUGAGGUAUAGUUAUAGCACAUUUGAGUAGUGCUCUGUUGUUUUAAAAAUGCUUUUGUUCUCUUUUUCCGGCUGGAACCAUGGAGGGUGUAGAAGAGAAGAAGAAGGUUCCUGCUGUGCCAGAAACCCUUAAGAAAAAGCAAAGGAAUUUCGCAGAGCUGAAGAUCAAGCGCCUAAGAAAGAAAUUUGCCCCAAAGAUGCUUCGAAAGGCAAGGAGGAAGCUUAUCUAUGAAAAAGCAAAGCACUAUCACAAGGAAUAUAGGCAGAUGUACAGAACUGAAAUUCGAAUGGCGAGGAUGGCAAGAAAAGCUGGCAACUUCUAUGUACCUGCAGAACCCAAACUGGCGUUUGUCAUCAGAAUCAGAGGUAUCAAUGGCGUGAGCCCAAAGGUUCGAAAGGUGUUGCAGCUUCUUCACCUUCGUCAAAUCUUCAAUGGAACCUUUGUGAAGCUCAACAAGGCUUCGAUUAACAUGCUGAGGAUUGUAGAGCCAUAUAUUGCAUGGGGGUACCCCAAUCUGAAGUCAGUAAAUGAACUAAUCUACAAGCGUGGUUAUGGCAAAAUCAAUAAGAAGUGAAUUGCUUUGACAGAUAAUGCUUUGAUCGCUCAAUCUCUUGAUAAAUACGGCAUCAUCUGCAUGCAGGAUCUGAUUCAUGAGAUCUAUACUGUUGGAAAAUGCUUCAAAGAGGCAAAUAACUUCCUGUGGCCCUUCAAAUCGUCUUCUCCACGAGGUGGAAUGAAGAAAAAGACCACUCAUUUUGUAGAAAGUGGAGAUGCUGGCAACAGGGAGGACCAGAUCAACAGGCUUAUUAGAAGAAUGAACUAAGGUGUCUACCAUGAUUAUUUUUCUAAGCUGGUUGGUUAAUAAACAGUAUCUGCUCUCAAAUUGAAAAAAAAAAUGCUUUUGUUUAUGUAUUAAUUCAUCUGGAAGGUCACGGAUUCAAGUUGCCCUCAGUAAUUAUCAUAUCUUGAAUGAAUACUGCUAGUCCUUUUCAUUUUCCAAAUAACAUCUCUUUAUUCCUAUACUUUUAAAAAACAUAUCAUGAAUUCAUACUGAUUUUUUCAAUUCAAAUGUAAGAGAGUUCAAUAAUUCUAAGGGAUUCUUUAUAAAUUUGAGGUAAAUUUUACAUGCAAUUAAAUGCACAAAUAUCAAGUGCUCUAUUUGAUGAUGAGUUUGACAAAUGCAUACACCCAUAAAAUAAGAUUUUUAUUUUUUAAUUAAUACACUUUAUUUUUUAAGAGAAGUUUUAGAUUCACAGCAAAAUUGAGCAGAAAAUACAGAGGAUUCCCUCUGUCUCUAUGCACACACAAUAUCCCCCACCUAUCAACAUUCGGCACCAGUGUUGUACGCUUGUUAUAAUCAAUGAGCCCACAUUGCCACAUCAUUAUCACCCAAAGUCCACAGUUUACAUUAGGAUUCAUUCUUGGUGUUUACAUUCUAUGAGUUUGGACAAAUGUGUAAUAAUGACAUGUAUGCACCAUUGUAGUAUUUUUCAGAACAGUUUCACUGCCUUAAAAAUCCU